GUGUCAAUAUCAUGAAUUUGAGUUAUGUAAUACCAUUACAAAAACGAAAGAGGAUUCUGAAGAAAAUGCAUUAUCUAGAGAUGUCAUUCAUGUAAAUGAUAGACCUUCUUCCAGUGAGCCAGCUGAGGCAAAAAAUGCUGCAAAUGAAAACAGGGGUGCAAGCACUGAGAAGGUACCUGCAGAUAGUUUCUCAAGUGCUGAAAAUGAUGCUAGUCACAAAUCUCUAAAUAUUCCUGAAAGUGAAGAUGAAGAAAUCGAAGAGAAACUAGAUGCUUUAUCAGAUUCCAAUCAUCCAGAGUUUGCAACCCAAAGCGUAGAUGGAGAUAUACUUGAAGAAACAAACACUGAUUCUGAUGAUAAAGAAUCCCACGCUAUCAAGAGUCAUGGCUCUGAAUCUUCUGCUGGAAAUUUAUCAUCAGAAACAAUAAGUAAUUUGAUGUAACAAUACUUGCUAGAUGUGUAAAAUUUAAUGUGUAUUCUAUUAAAAUAUUAUUGUAGCGUAUUGGUCU